rnacentral:lncRNA from 1 species
AACUAUUAUGUUUUGGGUGAUCUCUCACACUUGUUCUUCUUGCAAAAGUAAUCUCAAAGUAAGUCUUCCCCUCUUGGGCGAAUGUCCUUGUUUAAUACAGAGUUUAGGGCUUAAAAUCCUGUGUUUUACACUUUGAUCCCUGGAGUUUACGCAUAUUGCCGCGAUCCAACCGCGGUUACGCCAGAACCGCGGCCAGAGUGGUCUUCAGAAUCUACAGUAGUGUUUUGCCGCGGUCUUUCCCCGCUUUACGCCCGAACAGCGGCAGACCAGCUUCAUUUCUGGUUUUUUCCCUUCGCUUGGUGCACUUUGUGAAUAUUUGUAUGUUUGGCCUCUUUUGCUCCUUAAUUGAUCCCAAAAGUACUCCGCAGACUUUUUGUAUUGGAUGUAGCCUGCAAAUCAUGAAAAACACUAAUCAGAGAAUUUGUUCAUUUUUUACCGUAAAAGCUAUAUAAAAAUGUGGUUCUUUAGAGCCUAACUAUAGUCUAAUUUACCUAUUAUAAACACCCCACACUUAAUCUUUGCUCGUCCUCGAGCAAGUUGAACCACACUUCUAGGCCUAAUCGUUUGAUGCAUUACCCUGUUUAUGUCACAUCCGCCAUAAUGAAAGAACAACCUAAGCAGUGCAACAACCACACCUUAGGUGAAGAUUCUAAUGCCAUGCCACACUCGUGCUUGCUCUAUGUACUCUAAACAGAGGUGAAGACUUGCUUUUUCUUCCUGAGUUAUAUGCCCUCACAUCACAUUUUUUUAGAGAAGUUCCACACACAUAAAGUCAAACAAUAAAGAACUAUAGAUAGAACGAAUUCACUCGCUCUCAUCAAAGAACAUUCACAUUCCACACAGAUACACCAUAAGCGUGCCCUUAGUGUAAUAUUCUACUAAUCGAGUUGUUCAGUCUAAGAUUAAUAGGUCUUUAUUUGGUUAUAAUGUAGGCUAAGGGACGGGUAUGAUAUAUUUGGAUAUAGUGACUAACUCCCUAAGUACUUAUAAUACAAUAGUUCCCCUUAUUCCAAUUUUCAUCAUCCGCCUAGUCAUU